CGCGAGCAGGAAGCAGCCACCGCGACACCGCAGCUGGAAGCAGGCCAAACUACCGCAACACCGCUCUGCAAUCUACAUGCAGAUGUGGGCCAAGUCGACCUACAGGCCACGUCGCUGCCGCCGCCGCGGGCGAGCCCGAGCAGCUGCCGCUGGCAAGCAAGCGCGCAGGCUCCGUGCCGCCGCCCCGAGCAAGCUCGCUGAACCGCCUCCGCGGGCAAGCCCGAGCGAGCAGGCCGCGCCGCUGCCGCAGGCAAGUGCGCAGGCCUCGUGCCGCCGCCCCGAGCAAGCUCGCUGAACCGCCGCCGCGGGUGAGCCCGAGCGAGCAGGCCGCGCCGCUGCCGCAGGCAAGUGCGCACUGCGCAGGCUCCGUGCCGCCGCCCCGAGCAAGCUCACUGAACCGCCGCCGCGGGCGAGCCGCUGCCGCAGGCAAGCGCGCAGGCUCCGUGCCAUCGCCCCGAGCAAGCACGCCGAACCGUCGCCGCGGGCGAGCCCGAGCGAGCAAGCCAUGCCGCCGUCCGGAAGGCAACCAGGCUCAGCGGCCGCCAUCCCCAUGCACUGAGAAGGAGAAAGAAAAAAAAGGGCUGGAAAACCCUAAAAACACAUUUGAAUGGGCCUUUUGGGCCGAAAUUUGCAGGUCUCUCCUUAAACUACAUGUUUUUUUUUGUUUUUACCUCUUGAAUUAUAGAAUAAUCACGAAAUGUCAAAAAUGAAGAGAAAUAUUUUUCAUGCAAUAAUUGACAUUAGAAUUAUUCGCUAUUUAUACAUUUGAA
rnacentral:misc_RNA from 1 species